CAGAGUCGGUUUGAGUUGCAUGACUGACAUCUUCUGGCUACAGUGGAUAUUACAGAAAGACUGAAACUCCGCAAAAGUGUGUUUGAAAAAAAGAAAAGCACCCUGGAAUUUGGAUCAUUAAGUAUCUGCCAUUUAGAAUGUGCCCACAACUGCCAAAUCAAUAAUAGAAUAAAGCAAGGGGAAUCCCUGAGUCUUCAUGGAGUAAGAGCCACACCUUCUUAAGGGGAUCAAGGGGCAAAGUGACUUGAAGACAAUAUUAUCAUGAUAAAUAAGGAAAUAAGGGAAAGUGUGGAAGGUUUUCAUCUCAAUGGACAUGAAAAAGUGUGCAUUAUUAGAGUUGAGUGCAUUUAAUAAGCCAGGAUUAUCUCCUAGAGUUGCAGAGCAAGACAAAGCAAGUAGAGUCGGUAUCUGGAGACCUUUUUGCAAAGAAGAGACAAGCUCUCUCUAGGCUAUAUCACUAGUCUCAACUUCCUGGGCUCCAGCCAU
rnacentral:lncRNA from 10 species